rnacentral:lncRNA from 1 species
GUGAUAUUUUCAUAACCCCCUGUGAGCUUCAGAGGUGGAAACUUAGCAAUGGAAACAGUCGGAGGAAGACAGGGAAGGACCAACACAGGCCUCCUAUCACUGCACGCCUCUGCUCCCACAGUCUCCUCCGCCCAGAAAGCCUUCCAGCCUCUCCCUGGAGUGAAGUUCCUCAGCUCUGGAAGGUAAGCCCCAACACAGGCUCCUGUGGAUGCUGCCAGACCAGCCCCCGCUGGCCCCUCUCCCCCAGCUCCUCACAGGGUAGGUUCCUCCUCUCGCGGGCUCUUCCUCCUCUCUGUCCUGUAUAAUAGCUUGUUUUUCAGUACCCUAUCUUCCCCAAUUCUGAUCUCUUUGAGAAGCAAGCAUCGCAUCGGGAUGCAACCCUCCCAAGAGUGUCCAACCAAACUUGGGUACUCCUGGAUGUGCUGGAUGGAGAAGCUGCUCGGGGACAUCUGCUGAUCAGUGGGACAGUUGACACGUGGUCAUCCGGAGUUAUGGGAUUCCAUUAACUUGAAUUCCACUAGAAGAAUGUGUCUAUCGGGCUGAACUUGGCUGGCUGGACAGACAGGCCGGGUAAAUAGUAUGUGGAAUGAAAAACACAUAGCAAAGCCCUUUGGAUUAUUUAGCCAUUUGAGGAAGGACUCGAGAGGAAACGGGCAGCCGCGCUGUGCACAUUCUCUUGGGAAACAUUCCCAACAGCCUGGCUUAAUUUCCCCAGGGAGUGACCUACGUAGCGCCCCCGUGAUGCCUUCCUAAGGGAGUGACCUUGCCUGCCUUUGGCUUCUGCUCCCUUUGGAGCACCUCCUUCUCCCCUAUUCUUCAGAAGGGACCCUUGCUCCUUCCUGGCUAGGAUAGAUCGCCAGACAGGAUGACUCUGAGCCGCUACAGACAUCAGCUUUGCUUCUUAGCAGGCGCCAGUUUCAACACGCUCAAGCAGAAGCACUUGGCAGAGAAAUGGCCUCCUCGCUUGAAGUCAGGCUCUGCACAGACCAAUCAGCUGUCAGCCCUCUGCGGGGCCUGAAAACCAGCUCCUGUGGCUUUAGCCAAGAGACAAAUCCCUGAAUGUAUUCCUUAGGUGUCCAGGGUAGCUCUGUCUUCAGGUGACGCUUGUCCCAGGAUUUCAAACUGUCACUAGGGAGCAGUCUUGGUCCAUUCUCAGCCCUCCUCCCUUCCGUGGUCUUCACGUUCACAGGAUGGUUCAAAGCUGUCGGCAGAUCCAGGCUACUCCCUCCAAGGUUCACCAGCUACAGGGAGCAAGAACCUUUCCUCCUGCGCCUGGCGGUCAUUGGUCCAGACCGGAUCAUGUGUCUCUCUCUGAACCAAUCACUGAAGCCAAGAAACUGGGAUGCGCUGAUUGGCUAAUCCUAGGUCACGUGGCCUCAUUCAAAUCACAAGGGCCAGAAGGGGAAGGUGGGUUGAUUCUCAGAGGGAAUCUGGGGUACCGUGCCAUGAGCAAGGUGUGAAGAUUUGAGGUGUAGUGAAAAUCAAAGCACCCACCACACCACGGAAGAGAAAAUCAGCCAUUACCACAGCCAUAGGCAGGCGACAGGGAGUCCUGGGAGCCUCCAUAAUGGUACCUCCGCCGUGAGGCAUCACAGAACUUCAGCUAUUAUUGAGGUAUUUAAAUGUGUUAUUACGAUCAAGAGGUCAUGAGGUCCACAGCACCAUGGAACAUGCAGGGUUGACUGGUGGUCCCUUGGAACCCAUUCCUAAUAGCUCUAUUUUCUGUCCUAGGACAGUGGCUCGGGAGAAUGGGCUCUGUCCUUGCUCUAGGCCAGGGAUCCCAUUCCCUCCUCCAGCCCAAUGAUUGGUCUAGUGUGGACAUGUGACCUGAGCUAGCCCAGUUGGAAGGCUCCCAGGACUCCUCAUGGUGCUGAAGGAAGGUGGCAGGAUGUGUGUGGGAAAGCCUUCAGCUCUGGGAACUGUGAGGAUCAUCUUGGGACCACUGGAAAAUGGGGCUGAAAGUGAUGGUUCCUUACAGGAAGAAGCAGGAGGGGUAGUAAGGGAAGGAGGGAGAAAUGUAGAAAAGAGAAAAAGAGGGAGGUAAGGAAGGAAGAAACUGGGUCUUAAUGACACCAUUGCACUCUAGAUCGAGCCUGGCCUGAAACCAGACCCUGCCUCUGGCAUUUUCAAUCAUGUGAAUCUUUAUUGUUCCAAUCUACAUGGGUCAGGCUUUCUAUACCUUGCUACCCAAAACAUUCUAAUGAUGUACUUCCAACGCUUUGAUCUGUUUCCAAGUCCAGGCAGUCCAUGGAAGUGACUCCACACAUGAGUGUCUAGCACAGGUGACCUUACUUCUCUUUAGGGUGUUAUGGUUUGGAAGAGAGGUGUCCCCCAAAAGCUCUUGUGUGAGACAAUGCAAGAAAGUUUAGAGGAGAAAUUUUUGGAUUAUGAGAGCCUUAAUCCAAUCAGUGAAUCAAUCCCCUGAUGGUAUUAACUGAGUGGUGACUGGAGGUGGGGGGGUGUGGCUAGAGGAGGUGGGCAUUGGGGGCGUGGCUUUGGGUGCAUAUUGUGUAUCUGGUGAGCCGAGUUUCUCUUUGCUUUCUGAUCAUCACGUGAGCUGCUUCCCUCUGGCACACUCUUCCUCAGGCCCUAAGGAUCGGAGCCAGCUGUCUAUAGACUUAGACCUCUGAAACCGUGAGCCCCCAAAUAAACUUUUUCUCCCCUAAAAUUGUUCUGGUCAGACCUUUUAGUCCCAGCAGGAAAAAAGCUGACUAAAACACAGGGCAACUCUGAGGGGCAUCUGAGCUCCAGCUCCUCCAGGGCUUGGCUUUGCUCUCUCUUGGUGCUGUGUUGCAGUUGAACUUCGACCUCUGCUCUGUUCUUCUCACAUACCCCCUGCGUUCCCUUCCCUGUCUCAGAGUGCAUCUUCCUGGGAACCAAGCCACAACAUCAGGUGAAGCACGUGUCUGUCUACGUGGGGUGAUGUUAGAGGCUCGAUCCCAACCAUGCAUCCAGUAAUGAUGGGGAUACAGUCUGAGAUCUGCACUGCUAUUUAAUCAUUGUGCAAACAUCACAAAGUAUAUUCACACACCCUGAUGGCUAUGAUGGCACCAGGCAACAUCAUCUCGUGGUACCACUGCUAUCCAUGCAGCCUGUCAUGGACCAAAAUGACAUGCUGUGCAUGUCUGUCUUGCUUUUUCUGAACUGAGGGGAAGAGUGUUCAGAAAGGAAAUGUGGUUGAGAAGCACAGAUAUUUUGUUUGAGUUUCAUUUAAAAUUAAGAGAAAUAUUUUUAUUAGAGAAGAAAUGUUUGUUCAUUAUAAAAAAAAAAAAUAAAGAACAAAAAAUACAAAAAUACCCCAGAAAAUCCCACAUACCUAAGUAAACUAAUUAAAAGACCCCCUACAAUGUUCCAUGGGAAACAAUGACAGUUUUAUGUGAUUUUAAAUUUGAAAAUAUGUAUCAAGUCCCUUCCAUGUCCAAGGCCCUUUGUUGUCACCACCAGCCUAAGGAGCUAGGACUCUUAUCCCUGUGGGUUACGCCAGGGGGCACAGAAGGCGAAGAGCAAAUAGAGCUCCUGUCUUCUGACUCCAAAUUCAGAACUUUCCUCAUUACGUGGACACCAAGUGGAUGACAUCAGGUGGUGCUUUGGUGGGGCAGAGGCUGGUGUGUUUGGGAGAGUUUCUAGGCCAGGAAAACAAACCCUCUAGUCCUGGCUCUGCCAUUUACUUGCUGGUUGAUCUUAGACAAGUAUUUCACCCGGUGGGGUGUCUGUGGGACAACCAAGGGGUGGUCGUCGACCAUGUUGGAAACUAAAGAAAAGUCAACUGGAUUAAAAAGUGCAGUGGCUCUUCCUGCCGGCAGGGGGCACCACUAAAAAGAAGAAAAAACUAAAAUUGGGCAUGUGGGACACCCCUCCCCCAACAAAAAAGAUAAUAUCUCAGGUAGACUCCCGGUGGGCAUCCCAGGGGCACUGGGGAGGGGACUCCAAUAAAGCCAGAACCAGGCAGGGUGGGGCCCAGAGCUGGAAGCUGGUGCGUUUGAGGAAAAGGCUUAAUUUAUCUUUCUCAGUCCUCUUUGGCCAAGAGAGACGACAGGAGUAUGUUUUACUUUCUUUCUUUCUUUUUUUUUAAAGAAAACUUUCCAUUGUGGAAAUGGCAUGUGUUUAUUUUUAAAAAUCCAGCCACAGGACUAUGUAACUUCUGGGGGCGGGAGGAGGCUCGGGGGCCAGUACUGACCCUUUCUGCUAUUAAAUUCAUGUCUGGGUUUCUUUAGCCGGUUGAUCUUUCCCUUCUGGGCCUCUCUCCUUUUAGCAGAGCAGAAAUCUUGUUCAUGGAUGAGAAGGAAACUGACAAGGAGGAGAACUGAAGUCUGGGGAAUUCAAAUGCUGUUGGAAUAACCGUGGCUGACAUUUAUUGAAGGCUUCCUAUGUGCCAAGCUGUGGGCUAGGCCCUUGACACAACGAAUGUUCCAGAUAAUCUGGGAGACAGGUAUUAUUACCUGGAUUUUACAGGUGUGGAAAUCUAGUCUUAGAGAAGUAGUUGCCAGCCCAAGGCAGUGUGAGAAUGACACCCGGGUUUGACUGACCCUGGAGCCGUGACUCAUGUCUUAUUUUGUGGCAGAAUGUUGGAGCUCUGAGCUUUCUGAGGCAGGCAGGAGCUUUCUGUUUGGGAGGAGAGACCAAGGAAGGGGCAGCCAUCCCAGCAGCCCAGCCCUCCUCUGUCAGUGCUCCCCCUACCCUUCAUGGGGGAUGCUAGGGGCCUGUCAGUUCCCUGAAGCAGACAGCUUCUUCCACGGGACCCACACAAAUGCACUUCGUCCCUCUUGGUCUCAGGCCCUCCCUCUGGAAAGUUCUCUCCUGAGUAGCAGGAAAUGGAGAAAGGAGGCAGUUGAAGAAGGAGCGAGGUUGGAAGUGUGCUCAAGUGUGGGGGAAGAAGCUCCCCAUAACUGAGAUGCGUGGGGGUGGCACCCAGAGCCUAGACCACGUGGCUUUCCACCCUCCCUUCCGAGCAGCAGGACUUGGUGAGUUACAUAAUCUCUCUGCACCUGGGUUUCCUCAUCUGUCAACUAGGAGAACAGAAACCCCUGCUGUGGCGAGGGUUUCAUCAGGUGCAGUGAGGCAUAUAAAGCACUUCGAACAGUGCCUGGCCCAUAGUAAAUGCUUCUCAAAAAUCAGCUCCUGUUAUUCUCCAGAAGCAGCUCAUUUUCAUCGAGUAGACCAUGGUGAGCAAAUAUUCACAGAUAGGUACAGCUCAAGUAUAAAUGAUCAGGCAGAGAACACAGAUCAGCUCUCCUUCGGGCCAGAGUCUAACUUCAAGGAGUUAGACUCCUUUCCCAGGCUCGCCCCACACUCAUCUUUCUGGUUUGAACCUGGCUACUCCUUUGGCUGCCGGGGCUUGAAAUUCUCAAAAGGAUCUGAAGGGGUUGGGAAUCCCCAAUUCUCUUUGUUCCAGAACAUUCUAAUAUGGUUCUGAAGGUCUAUGGGACCCCAUCUUACUCCUCUCCUCUGCAGGCCCAGAUUGAGCUAGGAGAAUUAGCCAGGCAAGAACAAGGACAGGGCCUGACAUUCUGGAAGAAUCUGUUCUCCUGGCCCCACCUAAAGAACCUUUUCUAAUGAUCCUUUCUUGGGUCAGCUGAGCCUGUGUGUCUACAUAUCCAGAACAGGCCGGACAGGGCUUAGCAUCUCUGUGAUCAUCACAAUCAAACACCAGGUCACUGCCAUCAUCAACAGUACUAUCCUGGCAAUGUCACCGUCAUCUAGACCAGGAUCACUAUCACCUCUGCAUCUUGCAACCCCCUCCAUCACUGAUGUGGCCUCUGCCAUUUCCAUCUUCCUCUUCACCAUUGACGUUGCUGGGGUCGCUCCCACACGGUGACCUUUACACUCCCAUGAUCACCUGCUGCUUGCGGUCAGUCAGAACCCUCAGGCAGAAAGAGACAGAAACCCAAGUCAACGAAUUUAAGGAAAAAAAUGUGGUUGGGGGUUUAUGUCUCACCCACCCAAAGAGUAGGACUACAGAAAGAGUAGGACUCUCCUAGCCACUGUGCCCACAGCACUCAAACACCGAACAUAAUUAGGAAGCUUUCUUUCUGUCCAUCUCUGCUUUACUCCCAUUUAUUUAAUUCUUUUUCUUUUUCUUUCUUUUUGCAGAGAGACCCCUGUCCAUGUGAGCUUUGUGGAUCCAUAUACUGGUUGUAUAGUGACCCAAAAGCGAAAGAAUUUUCAUCUAUCAAGUUGAAAAAAUCCCAAGAAAGUUCCCUGAUGAAUUGAGCUUGGUUGCCCUUUGGGCUCAGAUCACAGGAAUUGGGAUGUGUGGUUCUGUGCUUGGCCCAGCUUGGUCACGUACCUAGCAAAGACAUGGAACUGGAGCAAACUUGGUGAACAGGUGAUGACCUUAGUUUGUGUCCACAUUCACGUCUUCCACCAGCACCACCAUCACCAUCACCACCACCACCAUCACCACCACCAUCACCAUCACUAUUAUCACCACCACGACUGGCACAGUUUUGCUAAGAGCUGUCCUGAGCCCAGCCUGGAGCUUCACAUUUGGAACUGCAACAGAUUUGACUUGGAUCAAGUCUCCAGACCUAUGGGAAUUUACUGUUUGGGGGUAACAAAGUUCAUGUGUUCAAGGAGCUAGACUCCUAACCCUGGGCUAUGAGGUGGGAGCAGGAAGGGAAGCUGCGGGGACAGGCCUGCCCCUGCAGCAUGGGCCCCAUCCCUGAGCAGGCCCAACAGCCGCAGCAACCCAUCAAAGAUCCAACGAUGGGCCAGGCCAUUUAGCAAAAGGCUACCUGUGCCCAGGCCCAGAGUGAGAGCCAUUCCUUGCUCUCUGCACAGCUCCCACACCAGCCCGGUGCCCUGUGCCCGGCCAGAGCCCUCACCACAACUGCCCCUCCCGAGGGCUGAGGCUUGUUUUGGCUCCAGGCCUCCUGUUCCCGCUCCGUCUCUGAGCAAACAUCUGUUUCCAGAUGUUGUCCCAGAGCCUUAUAAAGUUGAGGGAAGGCCUGAGUUAAUAGAGCUCCAGCAGACCCGCCUCGGCAGCGAGCUCACGUCAGGAAUGGAUCACUCAAGGAAAGCAAGACCCCUCAUUUCCUGAGGGGGGUGGGGCGUACAGGAAAGAUGAAUAGGGCACCCCCUCUCCGUUCCAGAAAUGACCUUAGCAAAGCAACCGCCUUCAGGAAAAAGAGGGAAAAGGCUUUUGUAAUGAGGUUUGCAGGAACGAAUGUUCCAGGCUGUUCUGCGUUCAGGGCUACUGCUGGGGAGGAACCAGAGGGAGGAAAGCUCAGCGGGACAGCAGAGCCUCCCCUGGAUUUACUGGCCACAAUCUGAGUUUGACCCUGGGAGCUGUGUGGUGCCUGGCAGGGAAGGGACCUGGCUGGAGUCUGGAUUUGACACCAGUGUGCUGGGUGACCUUGGAAGAGGCUCUGACCUCUCUGUGCUCGGUUUCUGCCAGUGUCACACACAGUGGAACCUUGGGUGAUUUAUAAAGGUCUUUCUGGGCCAGGGUGGGGCUCCUCUGCACACCAAACAGGGAGAGCUACUCCUAGGAAAAGAUCCCAAGGUAAAGGGUUCGGAGUGGCGGGGCGAGUCCAGGGCUGGGGGCUCGAGACAAGCAGGGACCCAUGGCAUGACCUCAAUCCCAGGUCCUAGUGAAUAGGGCUCGGCUUCAGCCAAGGAAUCCGGCUCUGUGUUAUCUGUCAUCAAACAAAAGCCUCUGUCUCUUAGAUGGCAGUGCCUGUCUUUCCAGCACAUCUCCCGCCUGUCAUGGGAACUCAGGUCCUGGGCUGCUUCUCCGAGAACAUGCUUGGGAUGCCCUUCCACCCUCUCUGUGCUGAGGCCCAGCUUCCCAGCCCUGAUUCCACAGGCUGACGGCUCUGAGGCCCCGCGUCUCGCUCCCACUCCUCCUGCAUGUGCUUCUUCCAAGAAGCUGCAAGCGGGGCCCUAAUGGAUGCGUUUGCUGAUGAUUUCUGACGUCUGGCUGCAGCGUGGCCUUGCCUUCCUCUCUUAUGGGUUUUGUGCUUUAUUGGGGCCUCGUGCACAUGAUCUCAUUUGAGUGUUGCAGCAUUCCCUGGCGUAGGAAUGAGGAGUCCCCUGCCCUCGACAGGAGGAUGAGUUCUAGGGAGGUCAAAACAUUUCCUGAAAGGCACACAGCUUGCAAUGGAGAAGCCAGGACUUGGAGUUUUGGGGGUGCCUUGUUUCAAAUUCACCCUGGAUCAACAAAAUGAUCCUCCAGUGCUAAUCUCACUAGAUGGGUAAUAGCUUCCUAUUUUGAGAAAUGUAAGAAGCGUGUGGGGUGCAGGGAGUGGUGCUCUGUAGCUGAUGAGAGAUGUCUGUCAACGGUGUGGGAAUGGAGUGUUGGUGUGACCAGACCAUGCCACGGAGAAGGGAGACGUGGAAGGAGCUCAUGGUUGAGGCUGUUGGGUAUCAAGAGGUCAUUUGAUGCACCCCAGUCAUUUGCAGUCAUUUGAUGGCAAAGAUGGACCACAAAAGCUUGGACCUUCUGUUCUGUUCUCCCAGAGCUCUCCUCUAUCUGGAUCCUUCCAUGCUCUGAGGCCCAGCCCAGGACUUUCUCUUCCAGAAACCUUCACCCUAACUCUGAGUCUUCAUGCCAGUCCCUUUCUCCAAGUCCCAAGGCCCUGGUCAUCCUGUUUGGCCCUCAGCUCAUGCUGCUCUUUCCUGAAGCCCCCACAUUCAUCCCUCAGGAUUGUGAACCCUGUGAGAAGCUGAUCUGGGUUUUGUCCCACUAGGAACUCAAUAACAGAUGUGGGCUGACUAAUGGAUCAGUGGCCCAGACCCUAGAAUGAGCAAGCAGCGGCCUUCCUCCCAGCCCCAGGACCGCAGGCUUAACGGCAGGCGAGACCCUUGUUUGAUCUGUUUUGUUUGAUCUUUGUCGUGCAUUCCAAGUCCCUGCAGUUAUCAUGGUGGCUCCCACAGAGGGAACUGGGGGCUCUGCACUCUGUACACAUGGUUGGAUCCAAUUCUCAUACUCCAGGAGAUAGAAAGUGGUUUUCCCAGAGAUCAGAGUUUAAGCUCAGAGUUUAAGUAAUUUGCUCAAGAUUGCACAGAUGUAAACAGAGAGUCCAUUCCUGGAAUGGACUCACAGUGAGUCCUACCUGGAAUCGCCUCCCAGUGAACACAGAAUGAGGCCCAGCUCCUGGCCCUGGAUAAGGCCAAGUGGGAGACUCUUGUGGAAUUAUUCUGAAACCCCCUGAGAUCAGAGGAACACAGGCUCGUGGGGGCUUCCAGCUGCUCCUGGAGGGAGUCAGCAAGACAGAGCUGGGCUGGGAAGGCUCCGACAUGGCUCUCGGGAUGGCAGCUGGGCAUGGCCUUUGCUAACCACAACAUUCCUCUAAUCCACUUCUCAGGACCAAGUGGUCCUAGACAGGCCCAUGAGCCCACCCUGCCAGGCAUUUACUCCUGUAAACACAUCUGUGGCCUCCAACGUAACCAAAUAUCACGGAAUCCACAACCAGGGUAGUUCUAAGCUUGGCCAUGUAACUUGUAGCACGUGUCAUACAUGCAGAGGAACUUGGAGCUCUCCUUCUGAAAGUCAAGUACCCAUGCUGUAAAGCAGCUCUGGAGAGACUGCAGAACAUUCCAGGGCAUGCUAAGAGGGUGAGAAACCAUCCUGAAUGUCCCAGCCCCAGCAGAGCUCCCUGCCAAGUUCCCACCAUGCAGCCAGCCACACCAGUACCUACAGCAGAAGAACCACUCAGCUGAGCCCUGUCAACCCACAGAAUUAAAGGAAAAGAAUCAAUCAAUGUGU